UACGAAGGGUGCAAGCGUUACUCGGAAUUACUGGGCGUAAAGCGUGCGUAGGUGGUUCGUUAAGUCUGAUGUGAAAGCCCUGGGCUCAACCUGGGAAUUGCAUUGGAUACUGGCGGGCUAGAGUACGGUAGAGGGUGGCGGAAUUCCCGGUGUAGCAGUGAAAUGCGUAGAGAUCGGGAGGAACAUCCGUGGCGAAGGCGGCCACCUGGACCAGUACUGACACUGAGGCACGAAAGCGUGGGGAGCAAACAGG
rnacentral:misc_RNA from 1 species